rnacentral:misc_RNA from 1 species
GUGAAGAACGUAGCGAAAUGCGAUAAGUAAUGUGAAUUGCAGAAUUCAGUGAAUCAUCGAAUCUUUGAACGCACCUUGCGCCCUUUGGCCAUUCCGAAGGGCAUGCCUGUUUGAGUAUCAUGAACACCUCAACUCUCAUGGCUUGCCAUGAUGAGCUUGGACUUUGGGGGUCUUGCUGGCCUGUGGUCGGCUCCUCUCAAAUGAAUCAGCUUGCCAGUGUUUGGUGGCAUCACAAGUGUGAUAACUAUCUGCGCUCGUGGUUUCCAUCAGAUAACCUCCAGUGAUGGAGGUUCGCUGGAGCUCAUAAAUGUCUCUCCUAAGCGAGGACAGCUCUUUUAAUGUUUGAUCUCAAAUCAGGUAGGACUACCCGCUGAACUUAAGCAUAUCAAUAAGCGGAGGA